rnacentral:rRNA from 1 species
UCCGUAGGCGGGCAAUUAAGUCAGAGGUGAAAUACCAUAGCUCAACUAUGGAACUGCCUUUGAUACUGGUUGACUUGAGUCAUAUGGAAGUAGAUAGAAUGUGUAGUGUAGCGGUGAAAUGCAUAGAUAUUACACAGAAUACCGAUUGCGAAGGCAGUCUACUACGUAUGUACUGACGCUGAGGGACGAAAGCGUGGGGAGCGAACAGGAUUAGAUACCCGGUAGUCC